rfam:Tauraco erythrolophus contig10230, whole genome shotgun sequence.
GCAGAUACAGCUUGGAGUGAUUAUGGUGAUGGACUGGAAAUCCACUGGGUGUUGCUUAUGCAGGUACAAGUCCUGCUGGCUGUG